rnacentral:tRNA from 1 species
UAGAUUGAAGCCAGUUAAUUAAGGUGNNNAGCUGUUAACUAAAGUUUCGUGGGGGUAGGGCCCACCAGUCUAG